UACGUAGGGGGCAAGCGUUGUCCGGAUUUAUUGGGCGUAAAGAGCUCGUAGGCGGCUCGGUAAGUCGGAUGUGAAACCUCCAGGCUCAACCUGGAGACGCCAUCUGAUACUGCCGUGGCUUGAGUCCGGUAGAGGAGCAGGGAAUUCCUGGUGUAGCGGUGAAAUGCGCAGAUAUCAGGAGGAACACCGGUGGCGAAGGCGGUUCUCUGGGCAUGUCCUGACGCUGAGGAGCGAAAGUGUGGGAGCGAACAGG
rnacentral:rRNA from 1 species